rnacentral:rRNA from 1 species
GAAUCUUGCGCAAUGGGCGAAAGCCUGACGCAGCAACGCCGCGUGGGGGAUGAAGGCCCUCGGGUUGUAAACCCCUUUUGCGAGGGAAGAAGUUCUGACGGUACCUCGCGACUAAGCCACGGCUAACUCCGUGCCAGCAGCCGCGGGAAUACGUAGGUGGCAAGCGUUGUCCGGAUUUAUUGGGCGGAAAGCGCCCGCAGGCGGCCUGGCAAGUCUCAGGUGAAAUCUCCCGGCUUAACUGGGAGGGUGCCCGGGAAACUGUCAGGCUCGAGGCAGGGAGAGGGAUGUGGAAUUCCCGGUGUAGUGGUGAAAUGCGUAGAUAUCGGGAGGAACACCAGUGGCGAAGGCGGCAUCCUGGCCCUGUCCUGACGCUCAGGGGCGAAAGCGUGGGGAGCAAACCGG